rnacentral:tRNA from 1 species
GCCCGGGUGGUGGAAUUGGUAGACACAAGGGACUUAAAAUCCCUCGACUUAACGGUCGUGACGGUUCGAGUCCGUCUCCGGGCACCA